rnacentral:rRNA from 1 species
GCAGUCGAACGGACCCUUCGGGGUUAGUGGCGGACGGGUGAGUAACGCGUGGGAACGUGCCCUUUGGUUCGGAAUAGCCUCGGGAAACUGGGAGUAAUACCGGAUGUGCCCUUCGGGGGAAAGAUUUAUCGCCAAAGGAUCGGCCCGCGUUGGAUUAGGUAGUUGGUGGGGUAAUGGCCUACCAAGCCGACGAUCCAUAGCUGGUUUGAGAGGAUGAUCAGCCACACUGGGACUGAGACACGGCCCAGACUCCUACGGGAGGCAGCAGUGGGGAAUCUUAGACAAUGGGGGAAACCCUGAUCUAGCCAUGCCGCGUGAUCGAUGAAGGCCUUAGGGUUGUAAAGAUCUUUCAGUGGGGAAGAUAAUGACGGUACCCACAGAAGAAGCCCCGGCUAACUCCGUGCCAGCAGCCGCGGUAAUACGGAGGGGGCUAGCGUUGUUCGGAAUUACUGGGCGUAAAGCGCACGUAGGCGGACCGGANAGUCAGAGGUGAAAUCCCAGGGCUCAACCUUGGAACUGCCUUUGAAACUCCUGGUCUUGAGGUCGAGAGAGGUGAGUGGAAUUCCGAGUGUAGAGGUGAAAUUCGUAGAUAUUCGGAGGA